rnacentral:snoRNA from 1 species
CAGCAUUGUUAAGUGACCCCCUGGCCCUGCUGUGGCCAGCUGGGCCUCAUCACAGUGCAAGAGAAAUUCCCCUCCCUGCAGAAGGGCCAGGCCUGCUUGUGGUCUGCCCCUUUUGGACUGGGGAUACAACU